UUAUCUAUAAGUCUUGACCAAGUCACGUGCCAGCAGUCGCGGUAACACGUGAAGACAAGUGUUAUUCAUCUUUAAUUGGUUUAAAGGGUACGUAGACAGUUAAUUAAGCCUAUAUCAGGGACUGAUUAGACUAGAGUUUAAUGGGAGAUGGUUGAGAACGGUGAGUGUAGCGAUGAAAUUUUCUGAUACCACCUAGAGACUGGCAACAGCGAAAGCAACUGUUUAAGUUAAAACUGACGUUCAGGGACGAAGGCUCGAUUAAGUAACAGGAUUAGGUACCCUAGUAUUGUGAGCAGACAAUGAUGAGUGUCAUAGAUAAGAAAUAUUAUUUAUAUUACUUGUGUAUAAAUGAAAGUGUAAGCACUCCACCUCAAGAGUAAUGUGGCAACACAUAAACUGAAAUCAUUAGACCGUUUCUGAAACCAGUAGUGAAGUAUGUUGUUUAAUUUGAUAACCCACAAAAAACCUUACCACAAUUUGUAUAUUUAUAAUAACAAGAGUUGCACGGCUGUCUUCAGUUAAUGUCGUGAGAUUUUGGUUAGAUCCAUUAAAUUAACGUAAACCCUUACUUUAUUUUAAUAUAAAGUAGUUCGCCGCUAUAUUGGUCAUGAUAUAAGGGACUAAGACAAGUCAUCAUGGCCUGAACAUUGUGGGCUAUAGACGUGCCACGUAAGCCUUAACAAAUAGAUGUGAAAUUGCAAAAUUAAACUAAUCUUCUAAAAUAGGACAUAACA
rnacentral:rRNA from 1 species